UCCUCUUUACAGAGGCAGUUUGUCUCGAGUUCCCGACUUGACUCGCUGGUAACAAGACAUGAGGGUUGCGCUCGUUGCGGGACUUAACCCAACAUUUCACAACACGAGCUGACGACAGCCAUGCACCACCUGUGGACCACCCUCGAAGGCGGCACCAUUUCAAGUGCUUGCAGGUCCAUGUCAAGCCCUGGUAAGGUUCUUCGCGUUGCAUCGAAUUAAGCCACAUGCUCCACCGCUUGUGCGGGCCCCCGCCAAUUCCUUUGAGUUUCAACCUUGCGGCCGUAGUCCCCAGGCGGUUCACUUAAUGCGUUAGCUGCGGCACCGAGGGGAACCCCCGACACCUAGUGAACAUCGUUUAUGGCCAAGACUAC
rnacentral:misc_RNA from 1 species